rnacentral:ncRNA from 1 species
UUCAAAGUUUUAUUCUAGCUUAAAUUUUUAAUUUAUAGGCUAUUUUAUAUACUAAUUUUUGUGGUUUACUUUUAAUUUUAAAUAAAUAGGUAGAGGAUAAAUUUGUAAUAUUGAAAAUUAAAUAUAAAAGAAAUUUUGAUUUAGGGACUUAUAAUAGUAUUGACAAAAUUUGUGCCAGCAGUUGCGGUUACACAAAUAAUACAAUUAAAUAAGUUUAGUAAGUAAUUAAUUUAUUUUGUUUUAGUUUUGAUAUAAGGUUAUUAGGUGAAAUUAUUAAUUUUAUUUAAGCUAUAAAAUAGGUAAUGAGGUUACGAAAUUUUUUUAAUAAACUAGGAUUAGAUACCCUAUUAUUGAAAAUUUAAAUUAUUAUACUAGAGUAGUAGUAGUUAUGUUCUUGAAAUUCAAAGAAUCUGGCGGUAUUUUAGUCUAUUCAGAGGAACCUGUCCUGUAAUUGAUGAUCCACGAUUAAUUGUACUUGUUUUAAAGGUUUGUAUAUCGUCGUAGGUUGAAUGUUUUAAAAGAAUUUAUAAUGUUCAUGAUUUUAUAUUUGAAAGGAAAUCAGAUCAAGAUACAGCGUAUAAAUAAGAAGAGAUGGGUUACAAUAAAUAUAUUUAAAUAGUUAAUAUAAUUAACAUUAUAUUAUAAAGUGGAUUUGAUAGUAAUAUGGUUUAGUUAAACUAUAUGAUUUUAGCUCUAAAAUAUGCACAUAUCGCCCGUCGCUCCCCCUCUAAAGUGGGAUAAGUCGUAACAUAGUAGGCGUACUGGAAAGUGUGCCUAGUAAGA